GGCUGAGAAAAUGUGCAGUGGAAUGCGGCUCACACUUCAGGGAUGCCACCACAAGGCUGAUGUGUUGGGUAGAACCACGGAGGCUGCCUGCCAAGGUGGAGCGCUAGGCUGAAUUCAGACGACGGUGUUAUAGGAGGAGUGUGGUGGGGACCAGGUACCAGACUUGUUCCUGUGUGGACUCCUAUACCUCCAGGAAUCAGCACUCAGCCCCCAUUUCAUCUCCACAAUCAACUGGUUUAUGGCAUCACUCCAAAUUUUUUGGAUGAAGAAACUAGAGAUUAAAGAAGCCAUGUCACUUGCUCUGGUCACACAGACAGUGGAAGAAGCAGACCCUGAGCUUAUACCUUUUGUGGGACCAUCUUCCCCAGCUUACCACCACAAGCCAUGUCUUCAAGAGGGUCCUGAUACCUUCCAUCCAUUCUCCAGGAGAAGCCACCAUAGACCUGACAGGUUCCAGUUCAUCUGGUUCCUGCAGGUUGCUCAAUGGUUUAGAAUAUAGUUCUGGCCUUGCAGUGGAAUAAACAAAGAACAAGUCUUAGA
rnacentral:sRNA from 1 species